rnacentral:rRNA from 1 species
CACACGAGUUUGAUCCUGGCUCAGAUUGAACGCUAGCGGCAUGCUAACACAUGCAAGUCGACGACGAAAGUCCUUCGGGGCGAGUAGAGUGGCGGACGGGUGAGUAACGCGUGGGAAUCUACCCUAGAGCGGGGGACAACCCGGGGAAACCCGGGCUAAUACCGCAUACGUCCUACGGGAGAAAGAGGGCCUCUGCUUGCAAGCUCUCACUCCAGGAUGAGCCCACGUCCGAUUAGCUAGUUGGUAGGGUAAAGGCCUACCAAGGCCACGAUCGGUAGCUGGUCUGAGAGGAUGAUCAGCCACACUGGGACUGAGACACGGCCCAGACUCCUACGGGAGGCAGCAGUGGGGAAUAUUGGACAAUGGGCGCAAGCCUGAUCCAGCAAUGCCGCGUGUGUGAAGAAGGCCUGCGGGUUGUAAAGCACUUUCAGUGGGGAAGAACAGAUUCGGGUCAAUACCCCGGAGCCCUGACGUUACCCACAGAAGAAGCACCGGCUAACUCCGUG